CCAAAGGCUCUUUUAAGAGCCACUAAAUGCACAAUUAAAAGAGCUGU
rfam:Taeniopygia guttata chromosome 1A, whole genome shotgun sequence.